AUCAAGAACACCAGUUGUCUGUGUUAGCAGCUUACUCACUCUGGUUUAUUUAUCCCUUUCUGGAUCUGGCAUCUAGAGCCAAGUGCUUCUUUUAAAAAUUCCUUUUAAACUAAGUGUGGAAGCCAAUAAGAGACUGUUGAAGGGGAAUGCAAGUGGUCUAAGGUAAUUUCUAGUUUAAUUUUGUAGCAGUUAGGAUUAGGUUAUUAAACAUAUUUAAAAUGAGAGGUGACAUAUUCAAGUGGUGACAUAAAAAAAAUUAUCAAAAUUUCAUUAGAUUUACUUCUUAGAGAGAUAUGCAAAUCGUAUUUGAUCUUCUAC